CCCCCGCCCAGCGAUCUCGGCCACCGGAGCUGUGUGGCCCGUGGGCAAGAGCGGCUUUCCGGGGCGCGCGCCCGCCCUCGACCCCCAUUUUUGGGGCGCGCGCCCUGCUGUUGGGUGGCGGUGCCGCUUCGAGAGCGCGCGGGACGCCCCUGCGGAGCCGAAGGGGGCGGCCGGCGGGGGGGCGGGUGCGCGGGGAAGGUUGCGGGCUGGGCCCUUCCUGCUGCGGUGACGUCCCUGGGCAACCCGGGCCUAGCCCUGGGGAAAAACCAACCGGCUUUGCUGUCUGGCUCGCAGCUCCGCUUCUCUGCAAGGCGGGCGAGAUUGCUCGUUCUCCUCGAAGAAUGCGAUUACUCUAGGUCCCUGUGCCGGAAUAUUAGAAGUCUUAAGAACUCAGGACAAGCAGCAGAAAUACAUGCAACAUGGUGACUGGACCCCUAAGGACUCUACAAUAUGAAUAAUUCUCUGGAGAACACCAUCUCCUUUGAAGAGUACAUCCGAGUGAGGGCGCGGUCUGUCCCACAGCACAGGAUGAAGGAAUUUCUGGACUCGCUGGCCUCUAAGGGGCCAGAAGCCCUUCAGGAGUUCCAGCAGACGGCCACCACUA